GACGACCGCUGGCGGCGUGCUUAACACAUGCAAGUCGAACGAAGUGGCGAACGGGUGAGUAAUACGUGAGUAACCUGCCCUCCUUUUUGGGAUAAGCAUUGGAAACGGGGUCUAAUACCGACUCACGGGGGAUGGGCUCGCGGCCUAUCAGCUUGUUGGUGGGGGGAUGGCCUACAAAGGCGGUUACGGGUAGCCGUCCUGGGAGGGUGACCGGCGACAGUGGGAUUGAGGUACGGCCCAGACUCCUACGGGAGGCAGCAGUGGGGGAUAUUGCACAAUGGGCGAAAGCCUGAUGCAGCGACGCCGCGUGGGGGAGGAAUGCUUUCGGGUUGUAAACCUCUUUCGCUAUCGAAAGGGUAGGUGGAGAAGAAGCGCCGGCUAACUACGUGCCAGCAGCCGCGGUAAUAC
rnacentral:rRNA from 1 species